GAUGAACGCUGGCGGCGUGCCUAAUACAUGCAAGUCGAGCGAACAGAUGAGUAGCUUGCUCCUCUGACGUUAGCGGCGGACGGGUGAGUAACACGUGGAUAACCUACCUAUAAGACUGGGAUAACUUCGGGAAACCGGAGCUAAUACCGGAUAAUAUAUUGAACCGCAUGGUUCAAUAGUGAAAGACGGUUUUGCUGUCACUUAUAGAUGGAUCCGCGCCGCAUUAGCUAGUUGGUAAGGUAACGGCUUACCAAGGCAACGAUGCUUAGCCGACCUGAAAGGGUGAUCGGCCACACUGUAACUGAGACACGGUCCAGACUCCUACGGGGGGCAGCAGUAGGGAAUCUUCCGCAAUGGGCGAAUGCCUGACGGAGCAACGCCGCGUGAGUGAUGAAGGUCUUCGGAUCGUAAAGCGCUGUUAUUAGUGAAGAACAAAUGUGUAAGUAACUAUGCACGUCUUGACGGUACCUAAUCAGAAAGCCACGGCUAACUACGUG
rnacentral:rRNA from 1 species